rnacentral:lncRNA from 1 species
CCCUUGCUCUGAGCUCGCGAACGCGGCCGCGUCCGCCAUAGCCGUCGCGAAGCUCCGGCCCCUGCGUCGUUAUUGCCACUCUGCCCAUUCUCUCUGCCCGCAAACACCACCAAUAGCUUCGCCUCCAUCUCCUACAUCUUGUGCUCGCGCUCGCCGUCCUAAUCCGUCGCCGUGGUCGCCAGCGUGCCACCGCCGUCGCCGCCGUCGGUGUGCGUAUGUGGCCG